UGCUAUUGUAGAAAUUCUUAUUGAGAAC
rnacentral:piRNA from 1 species